GCAGAGUACAAAGGACUGAAAAACUGAAAUAAACAACAACAAAAAUCCCUAAUGAAACUAAAAGUUACCCCGGUCAAAGAAAUGAAACUAAAAGUUAUGUCAAGAUUCAUUUAAGUAAUAAUCUUGAAAUCCGUCAUCUGUAUCUUGAAAAUUCUCCAUGUCUUUGGUGAUGAAAUUGCAGAAGACUAGAUCUGCACAAACUGGACUAACCUUGUUGGUUUUAAAUAGCCACGUGAGUCGCUCACCGCAACCGAUGAGAACCUAAGAUCUUUUGGGCGGGGAAACACCCCUUGCAAGACAGGUUGUCAAACCGCUCAUUCAUCGCUGAACCGAGAAGGAAGAAGACCAAAUAACAAAAUAAAAAAACCGUGAAAUCCACUAGCUUCAUAGAGUAGAUGUGUUGGAAAAGAAUGGAGCCAGGAGACAAUUAUUCCAUACGAUGUUGCCUCC
rnacentral:lncRNA from 1 species